CCCACUUGAGAUGGGCGUGUCACCAUCACUCCUGCAUGACCUUCAGAGAGCCAGGUCACCUCUACUCAGUUCUAACAUCUGCUCCAGGGUUUCAAUUCCAUCCAGUUGCUCUUCUUGCCCAGGGCCAGAGGCAAGAUGGAUUCCUGAUUAGCUGACAGCUGUGCCUACCCCGCAGGGCUCUCAGAGCUAAUCCUAUAAAGUGCCUGCACUGGAUAAAGUUGGUUGAGUCACACCUUGCCCUCUCCACAUGGAGCCUAGGUUUGCCUAAAUGGGCAGCAAGGUAUAAUGAGAAGAACAGAGGGUUUGGAACCAGAAUGACACAGGUUCAAAUCCCAGCUCUGCCCCUUAGAACUGUCCCACCAAGGAAGAUCCACUGCUGCUGAGCUCUAGUGAACCCCUCUGUAAAAUGAGAUGAGGACCCCUGCUCAGGAUGUUGUGAGGACAAAGGGAGACAGCACGCACGUAAAGCACGGUCCCAGUGCCUAUAAGCACUGAUUCCUUUCUGUUGAAUCAGGCGUGAGGAAAAGCUCUACCCGAGAUGCCCUCGUCCCAGGCACCUUUCAGGCUGUACCCACGCUCUCACCCAACGAGGGUGGUGAUAGCUCCCCAACAUCAUUUCAAGCUCUAGGCUGUACUAGGCCUCUGCGGAUGCCUGGAGGUGGCUCUUGUCAAUUCUCACCUCCCUUCCUGCUGCUGCCCGGCUCGUCAGGAGGCCGCUUGAAGGCUGGGCUCUGGCGACUCAUCAAGCAAGUGUCCCUGCUGCUCAGGGGCUGCUUCAAUCAGGGGGACGCCACAGGAGGCAUUAUUAGCUGCACCCGCACUGGGGCACACAGAGUAGCCAGGGAGGAUCCCCUCUCUGGUGGGUCACGAGGCGGCUCUGUGCAUGCAUUUGUGUGUGUUUAUUGAUAAAGAGCCACAUUUGCAUUUUGCUCUGGCUUGGAGAGCUUGUGGGUUUGGCCCUGAGCUUGGGUGGCAGUCAGCUUCUGUCCCGUGCUUGUCACUUAUCUGUGUCUGUGGCAGCGGAGGAAGAGGCAUGGAGAUCUGGGACCUGUAAAACCCAAGCGUGGUCCUUCUCCCUAGCUGGGAAUCUGGCCUGUCUCCUCUGCUCUUCUCCUAGGAGAACAUGGAACCGCAUGGGCCACGACAUAGCUGACUGGGAAAGGGCGGUCAGUGGCGGAGGGCCUGCAGCCCAGCUACAUAACCCUGAAAGUCCCUUUCGGCCUGAAGAGCACACACAGUCUGAUGGGUACAGAUGUGAGCUCUGGAGUACAGCUUUCUGGGCUUGAAUUCUGGGGCUGCCAUUUGCUGACCAUGUGACCUUGGGCAAACUGCUUAACCUGUCUCUGCCUCGCCUUGCCAAUCUGUAAAUAGGGAUAAUGAUUAAAGAGUAAGUGAAAAUCAAAUGAAACAA
rnacentral:antisense_RNA from 1 species